AGGCGACCCUUUCCCACUCCAUCCCUUCCUUGGCUGGGGUCAGGAGAGGAAGGGGAGCCCCGGGGUCUCUGAGGCUUGGGUCUGUCAGUUUGGAGCUCCACUGCUCCAGGCGGGAUUCAGGAAGCCGGUGGUCAAGGGAAAGCCCCUCGAUAGCCUAAACGGAGAGGGCGGGGAGGGGGAGGAGGCAAAGGAGGCUGAAAUGGGAAGGAGAUAAAGCCUGGAGAGGGCUCAUCUGGAAGCAGGGAAUAGGUGCGCCCCGGCCCGAGUCUCAUGUUCCUACCCUAGGUGGUCCUGAGGGGGCUUCUGCGUAGCUCAGGGCUGCAUCCAGGACGCACCUUGCGCCCAGCUGUGGGGAACCAAAGAGUGAUUUUAUUUAUAUAUGUAUAUGUGUGUGUGUAUAUAUAUUGUUUUUUUGUUUUUUUUUUUUCUUCAGUAAAGCAACAGAGAGGGUACUGGGUCGGGGGAUUGCGAUAUCUUUCCCCGCUGUCCUGACUCCAAAACUGGCCGCCCAUGCUGUCCUUAGCUCUCUCCAGGGAAACGACUCAGGUCUGCAGGUGCUGGCCCAAGCGGGCUGUGCCGCUGGGAGGCCAGGGGUCCGAGGCAGCCCUCGGGACCCUACCACUCCACGAGGCCAUGUCCCUGGCCAAUGACACGCUCCCGCGCCGGGUGGCUAGGUGGGGUGUGGGGGGUGCGGGAGACUUCGUGCACCGCUGCCGCCGCGCUCCUGUGUGCCCAUGGCCCCCUCCCCUUCUGCUCCCCACUCUCCGCCCGAUUUGCCUGAAGCUGCCAGCUUGCCAUCUCGGGCUGAAUCCCAUUUUCCUCCCCCAACCCCGAGUCCCUCAAACUCUCCACCCUCCAGGGCUGCUCGCGCUCUUGGGGAGCGGGGCUAGAAGGACCCAAGCAGCCUCGUUUAUCCUCCCAUCCCCCGCCAAAACCCGCCGGCGGCUCCGCCCCCGCCCCCUCCCUGGCGGCUCAGGCCGCCCCUCCCGGGCUCCCUCCGCGUGCGCCCUGCGCCGCGCUGGGUCUGCAGCGGGAGCUGCCACAGCAGCCUCGCCAACUGGCUGGGGACCAGGCGGGAGGUGGCGCGCCCUGGAGGCUGCGGGAGGGAGGGAGGGAGGCCCGGCCUCGGCGUAGCCCGGCCCCCGCUCCCCGAGGCCCUCCCGCCGGAGCGGGGCUGCCAAGCGCACACACACACACACACACGCACAUACACACACGCGCACACACACAUUCGGGCUCCCAACGGCGCGCACGCACGUAGCGCCCGGGGCAGACCAGCGCCGCGGCCGCCUCCCGGGACGCCCGGACGCCGGAGGGCCCCGACUCGCGCGCGGCUCAUGCGCCCGCGUCCGCCCCGCUGCUCCGCGAGGCCCGCGGGACCCCUCCCGCCACCGCCGCCGCGCCCGCCGCCCCCGGAGGAGCGGGCUGGCCGACCGCCACCUUGCUGUCCCCGGGCAGCCCCCGAAGCCGCUCCAUCGCGGUCCCUGCUGCCCUGGGGCCGCGCCCCGCUCCCGUGCCUUAGGGGUUGAGCCGAGCAAACUUCGCGCACCGGCCGACGCCCGGCGGGGACCCCGCUGCGCACCCGCGCGCCCGGGUGGGCGCUAGGCGCGCGGACCUUUGGGGAGCCGGCUGCCCCGCCCGCUGCACCUGCUCGGCCCCCUCCCCGCUUGCAGGGGACUCCAGAGACACCGCCACUUCGCAAACUUUUCCUCCCCACCACCGAGAGGGGGCGAGGAGGGGUAAAAGGGGAAGCAGGUCCCGCGGGGCGCGCGGACCUGCAGGCUCCUUGCUGGGCGCCGCCACCCGCAAGCUGGACCCACAGGGGUACCGGGCCCCGCGGCCGCCCUCCGGCCGCUUUCUGGCUCCGGUUCCCGUCCCUGCUUUUCCCGCGGGAGCGGGGGGCGGGGUGCGGAGGGCAGCGAGGCCCGCGCGGUACCCAGCGGGGCCGCCCUGCAUGGCCCUGCGCAGUGGGGCGGGCUGCUUCGGCCGGGUCUGGCGCAGGGUGUCGGGGUUCCCGGACGCCUGGCCCCGGCGCUCUAGCAGCCUCCUGUGCCUGUCCGCCUUCUCGGCUGAGCCCGGGCCCGCGCCGCCCCUGCCCCGCCAGCCGCCUCGCGGUGGCGGUGGCUGUGGCGGCCCCAGCGGAGGGGGCCCCCCCCAGCCUCCCCGCCCCCCGCCUCCCCGCUGCUGCUGCUGCUGCUGCCGCCGCCGCUUACAACUUGGAGGCGGCGGCGGCGGCGGCGGAGGAGGAGGCGGCGGCGGCCGCCGGGCGCUGCAGUGGGACGCGCGCGGCUGUGAGCCUGCGGGACAUGCCCCCCGCGCCGGCUCCUUGCUGGCGGCCAUGAAGAGGCAGAACGUGCGGACUCUGUCCCUCAUCGUCUGCACCUUCACCUACCUGCUGGUGGGCGCCGCCGUGUUCGACGCCCUCGAGUCGGACCACGAGAUGCGCGAGGAGGAGAAACUCAAAGCCGAGGAGAUCCGGAUCAAGGGGAAGUACAACAUCAGCAGCGAGGACUACCGGCAGCUGGAGCUGGUGAUCCUGCAGUCGGAGCCGCACCGCGCCGGCGUCCAGUGGAAAUUCGCCGGCUCCUUCUACUUUGCCAUCACGGUCAUCACCACCAUAGGUUAUGGGCACGCUGCACCUGGCACCGACGCGGGCAAGGCCUUCUGCAUGUUCUACGCCGUGCUGGGCAUUCCGCUGACGCUGGUCAUGUUCCAGAGCCUGGGCGAGCGCAUGAACACCUUCGUGCGUUACCUGCUGAAGCGCAUCAAGAAGUGCUGUGGCAUGCGCAACACUGACGUGUCCAUGGAGAACAUGGUGACUGUGGGCUUCUUCUCCUGCAUGGGGACGCUGUGCAUCGGGGCGGCUGCCUUCUCCCAGUGUGAGGAGUGGAGCUUCUUCCACGCCUACUACUACUGCUUCAUCACGUUGACUACCAUUGGGUUCGGGGACUACGUGGCCCUGCAGACCAAGGGUGCCCUGCAGAAGAAGCCACUCUACGUGGCCUUUAGCUUUAUGUAUAUCCUGGUGGGGCUGACGGUCAUCGGGGCCUUCCUCAACCUGGUCGUCCUCAGGUUCUUGACCAUGAACAGUGAGGAUGAGCGGCGGGAUGCCGAAGAGAGGGCAUCCCUUGCCGGAAACCGCAACAGCAUGGUCAUUCACAUCCCUGAGGAGCCACGUCCCAGCCGGCCCAGGUACAAGGCGGACGUCGCGGACCUGCAGUCUGUGUGCUCCUGCACCUGCUACCGCUCGCAGGACUAUGGCGGCCGCUCAGCGGCUCCUCAGAACUCCUUCAGCGCCAAGCUUGCCCCCCACUACUUCCACUCCAUCUCUUACAAGAUCGAGGAGAUCUCACCAAGCACAUUAAAAAACAGCCUCUUCCCAUCUCCUAUUAGCUCCAUCUCUCCUGGGUUACACAGCUUUACCGACCACCAGAGGCUGAUGAAACGCCGGAAGUCCGUUUAGGGGAACUAACUGCACAUCCAAGAGAGGCGUCCGUGGAUGCUGGGUCUCACUGCCAAAGCCGAACACGGCUUCGGGAUUUCUGCCUUCUCACGUGGACCUCUGCUGUGCUGGGCGAAUGCCACUACUCAUUCCCCUAAACACCUGUGGGGAUGGUCCAGCUACACAUAGAUGGGAAGCCCAGAGAAAUGCUCGAUGUGAGGGUCCCCGCAAGCCAGUUGGGCUGAUUCGGCACCCGCCCCCCAAAGCUCCUCAUUGAGGAGCAGAGACUGCCAAGCCCUUCCACUCAUUCGUCAUCAUAAAAAUGUAACUUGCUAUGGCAGCCUCUUGGCCAUUAAGGGCUAUACUUUGUGACCUCUGUCCUUGAGAUCUUUGCUCUGGCAAGUUCUAUAGCCUUCUCAGUGCUGCUAUCGUGAUGCAGUCCCCCUGCUGUGGCUAAGUAACCUUUCGUUUUGAUCAAGAUUUGUCCGUGCAGACUCCUACCUCUGCGCCUUUGCCCGUGCCGUUCCCACUACCUGGAAGGUCUCCCUGUUGCUCUCCAGCUUUGAGGUGGAGACAGAGCAUCUCACACCUCCUUUUGGUGUCUCCUGACCCUUUUGCUCCCUGUUGGACUUGGCAAUGUCCUCUUCUGGGCUCCCCUAGUCCUUGUUUUGGUCGUGAGCGACCGCACUGGGGAGCAAACCUUCUGUGGCCCCGGCCACAGGAGCAGCAAGCACUGGGCAGUGCCCCAGAGGCAAGGACCAUCGCGAGAAUAAAGGCACUGAGAUGUCUGGCAUCUUGCCCAAAUGGCCACUCAUCACCGUGAUUGAGGCAUGUCUUAACUUGCUGAAGUGGAAACAGGGUAACUCAAUGCACACCUCUGCACCAUCCCUGGAAACCAAUCCAGAUCUAUGAGAAGAAAACUGGUCAUCAUAGCGUUGGUGAUUCAACAGCACCUGCCCGGCAGAGUGGAGUGUGCCCCAUACAACAGGGCCGGAAGCUGCCACGCCAGGCGUUUCUCAUAAGGCGGCUGACAGGGAUGGCACCAGACUACAGGAGCAUACUUGCGAUGUCACUCUGAAGAAGUUGGGCCCCGUGAUGGGAAUGUCAUCAGGAAACUGGGUCUGCACUGUUUUUUUGUGGCAACACUUCUGGUGGAGGCUGCGAGGGGAUGGGGACAUGCACCAUGAGUGACUCAGGACCCCCAGCCUCUGUGGCCUGGCUCCUGCCCACCCCUAGCUCUGGGGCCUUGAGAGAGGCAAGCACACGCUCUUCUCGCCUCCAGAGAGCAGCGUAGGGGUGUGGAUGCUGCUCAGGCCCUGGCAUCUCGCACGCCUGGGACCAGCCUCUGCCAUUCACAGGACUGUGUGGGCAGCCCCAUCAGAGGAUGGCAACAGCUCUCUCCUUCUGUAAGUGAGGCAGUCUCAUCCUUCCCUGGAUCCUCAGCAUCUCUUAACCAGCAGUGGCAAAGGUUGAAUUAGAAUGGCUCCAGCUUCGGAUAAAAAUCCGGAUCUCGUUUUUCAAAACGUGUCUAGAGCUGGUGGCUGUAAGGAACCAAUCAAGCCUCAGCUGUGAUUCUAAUCCUGCCAAGUCAGCCUGAGAGCCGACUCAUUCAUCCAAAGAGAGAACGGUUUGGAUGGAGCUCAAGGUGCAUGGCUCGCUGGCAUAGCCCAGACAACCUCUUAAAGGCCGGGCCGCAGAGCUAGAAGGUCUGUCACUCAGUUGGGGAAAUCGCCUGAGAAGUUCAAGUCCACUGCCUGGCAGCUCAAAUGAGUCAGCCUCACCAACCAAGAAUCGCGUUGAUAAACAGACUCAGAGAGCCCGCGCCCCGUGGGGUUCCCCCCGUCUGCAACUGUCUCACCUGGCCCCCCUGCAGGGCCCGGCGGGGACUGGGGAAGGUCAGUGCUCCCUGGGGCGGGGACUGGGUCUGUUUCCAGGCUCAGUGCCUCCGAGUCAUACACAUGCCAGGUGGUCCUGCUACUUACCCUUGCUGAACCUCAGGCUUCUCGUGUAAACAGGGCGCUUUUGAGGAAUUAUUAACAUCUCCCUGUGAGUCAAAGCACCUACUGAGAUAAUGUAUGUAAUGCUUGUAAUAAAUGCAGCUAUGUGCCAGGCACUCUGA